AUCAAGGAACAAACGACGAGGAGCACGCUAUCCCAGAGGUUCAAACGCUGAAACUUUGUGCGAACGUUGAACAUCGUCCCUGUUAAUGGAUUACAAAUACCACAAUCUCUGCUAGAGAGAAGGAAAAAUAGUGAUUGGCGAGACAGAGAGAAAGAAAGUAUCACCAUCACCGCCUACUCAUUCUGUGUCUGCGAUAUGGACUCAGGUAAAUGUGAGGCAAUCGGGGAUAUUGACAAGGACGAGGACGACGAUGAAGAUGCGGAUUGCAUGUUCUGUUGUGAUUCGAUCGUAUUGGAUUGGUUAUUUACCAAAAAAAAACUUGGAACUUUCUAGACGAAUUCAUUAGGAAAGUUUGCGACAGAGGCAAAAUUUCACUCCUCCCCUGAUGCAUACAAGGAAGCCAUGCAUCGUCACACAGCUAGGACAAGGAUCAAUUGAUGGCAAUGCUAACCUACCCGAUAGUUGAAAAUCUGUUAGAAGGAGAGGGGAGACUAAAGCAAAAACUUUCGGCCUGGAGGUGGCUAUGAAAUCUGAAGAACCUGAAGUGAAGGCCAACUAUCAUGGCAGAUCUUUACGGCAAUUGGUUCAUGCCAUUCACCAGGGAAGUGCAGGUUGAUUAUCUACUGAGAAGGUUGUGACUGAAUUAUCUGUGGCAUCGCCAGGGGUUUCCUCAUGUUGAUUCAUCUAUUCUGACCCAUUAUUUGAGUCAUAAUUCACCUAGCUAGGACCCAUAUUG